rnacentral:misc_RNA from 1 species
GGCGUCCAAAUAAUGUGUCUUUAGAAAUCAACCCCUUUUUGGGGUUGAAACGGGGGAUGGUAGGUUGACUCACUGAUCACGAAAUCUCUGAAACUAUAACACCUACAAACUUGAAAUUUGGCAGAAAGGCUCUUUAUAAAGCGUAAACAUCCGUUAAGAACGGAUUUUACGAAACUCGAUCCCUAAAAGGUUAAAACGGGGGGUUGGAAGUUUGUAUGAAAGUCCUAUGUUUUAGAAGUAAAAGACUUAAAAUUUAAAAUGUAUGCUCUAUAGAUAAUGAGAAGGCGUCCAAAUAAUGUAUCUUUAGAAAUCAACCCCUUUUUGGGGUUAAAACGGGGAUGGUAGGUUGACUCAAUGAUCGCGAAAUCUCCGAAACUGUAAC